UACGUAGGGGGCUAGCGUUGUUCGGAAUUACUGGGCGUAAAGCGCGCGCAGGCGGGUCAUCAAGUCAGAGGUGAAAUCCCAGAGCUCAACUCUGGAACUGCCUUUGAAACUGGUGACCUUGAGUACGGGAGAGGUGAGUGGAAUUCCCAGUGUAGAGGUGAAAUUCGUAGAUAUUAGGAAGAACACCAGUGGCGAAGGCGCCUUACUGGCUCGAUCCUGACGCUGAGGUGCGAAAGUGUGGGGAGCAAACAGG
rnacentral:rRNA from 1 species